UACGUAGGGGGGCAAGCGUUGUCCGGAUUUAUUGGGCGUAAAGAGCGUGUAGGCGGCUAGAUAGGUCCGUUGUGAAAACUCGAGGCUCAACCUCGAGACGUCGAUGGAAACCAUCUGGCUAGAGUCCGGAAGAGGAGAGUGGAAUUCCUGGUGUAGCGGUGAAAUGCGCAGAUAUCAGGAAGAACACCAAUGGCGAAAGCAGCUCGCUGGGACGUAACUGACGCUGAGACGCGAAAGCGUGGGGAGCAAACAGG
rnacentral:rRNA from 1 species